GAGAAGCGUCCUCAGUUGCCAUGGAAACGGGACCCAGUGAAGAAUCUAGCGGCCAAAAGGAGUCCCAGGAAAUUUGCUCCCCGGGAUUACUGGUAUUUGCCGGCUCCUCAGAACAAGAUGCCAACUUGGCUAAGCAGUUCUGGAUCUCGGCGUCAAUGUAUCCCCCUAGCGAAUCUCAGCUGAUGCUGCGCAGAGACAGUAGUCAGCGUCUGCCGGUGGCCCGGCCCCCGAGGAGCAGAGGGUCUGAGAAAGGUCACUCCUCACAAUCUUUUCACCUUGCUAAUGACAAAAAUAGAGACAUCUUUGCUGAAGCCCUAAAGAUUCAGGAAUCUGAGGAGAAAGUAAAGUAUCUCCAAAAGCUGAGCCAUCAAGGCUGGGGAACCGCCCUGAAGAACUGCUUAGCCACACAGCAGCUUCUGGGGCUUUGCACGUGCUGUUUCCUCUGCCUUAAAAGCUUUCUUCCCCAUCUUGUCUCCAUCAUUAUCUGCAGGCUAAAACAAGAGAAGAGAUUCUCCAACUCUUAAGAAAACAAAGAGAAGAAAGGAUCUCGAAAGAACUGAUUUCCCUUCCUUAUAAACCAAAAGCCAAAGAACACAAAGCAAAGAAAGUGGUAUCAGAGUCAGAUAAAAAGGACCAAGAAGAAGUCAAAGCCUUGGACUAAUUUGCUUGAUACAUGGCAGAGGAUGGCUCACUCACACCUUCACUUUGGAAAUAACCUUCUCUUAGGAUCAUUAAGAUCACUGGCCACAUUAUAGAAGACAAAGAAAUACAAGUUAAGUAUGCAGAUUUCUAGGAAUUUUACCAGUUAUUGAAUACUUGUGUUAAAAUAAAGUAAGAAAUAAAAGUUAAAUAUGCAGACUUCUAUGAA